GUCGUGGGGGAUAACGUAGGGAAACUUACGCUAAUACCGCAUACGACCUACGGGUGAAAGCAGGGGAUCUUCGGACCUUGCGCGAUUGAAUGAGCCGAUGUCGGAUUAGCUAGUUGGCGGGGUAAAGGCCCACCAAGGCGACGAUCCGUAGCUGGUCUGAGAGGAUGAUCAGCCACACUGGAACUGAGACACGGUCCAGACUCCUACGGGAGGCAGCAGUGGGGAAUAUUGGACAAUGGGCGCAAGCCUGAUCCAGCCAUACCGCGUGGGUGAAGAAGGCCUUCGGGUUGUAAAGCCCUUUUGUUGGGAAAGAAAUCCAACUGGUUAAUACCCGGUUGGGAUGACGGUACCCAAAGAAUAAGCACCGGCUAACUUCGUGCCAGCAGCCGCGGUAAUACGAAGGGUGCAAGCGUUACUCGGAAUUACUGGGCGUAAAGCGUGCGUAGGUGGUUAUUUAAGUCCGUUGUGAAAGCCCUGGGCUCAACCUGGGAACUGCAGUGGAUACUGGAUGACUAGAAUGUGGUAGAGGGUAGCGGAAUUCCUGGUGUAGCAGUGAAAUGCGUAGAGAUCAGGAGGAACAUCCAUGGCGAAGGCAGCUACCUGGACCAA
rnacentral:rRNA from 1 species